AAAUUAACUUAAGUUCAUUAAAAGUUCAAUUGAUUAUUGAUUUUAUCAGCUUCACAGACAGUUUCAGUGAUUUUAUUAGACAUUAAGUUAGGUAUGAAUUAACUAUAUACUAUUUAAAUAAAUAGGACAUCAUAGUAGAAUUUACCAUCUGUGUAUAGUAAUAUAUUAACAAAAUAAGCUUAUACUACUGAUGAAUGCGCAACAAAAUAUUUUCCAAUAUUUAUGCACCCCCGUAUAUUAGCAGCUGUUUGGUAUAUUUUUCACGUAAAACGUAACAUAAAAUAUGGUCGUAAAAGGUAGAAAACGAUACCACAACACUAAGAAUCCCAUGAUCUUAACUCAUUGCCUUUGUAACGUGUUUUGGUUUUCGGAUCCGAUCAUUUCAUACGUACAAAGUAAUAGUACAUUAAAAUUGGUAUAGUUAUAAAUUUUUUUUAGAAAUUAGUUUUUGUAUGAUAAGUUUUAU